rnacentral:rRNA from 1 species
CAAUAGCGUAUAUUUAAGUUGCUGCAGUUAAAAAGCUCGUAGUUGGAUUUCGGGUGGGAAUGGCCGGUCCGCCGUUUCGGUGUGCACUUGCUACGCCCACCUUGCUGCCGGGGACGUGCUCUUGAGUUCACGCUCGGGACACGGAGUCGGCGAGGUUACUUUGAGUAAAUUAGAGUGUUCAAAGCAGGCCUACGCUCUGAAUACAUUAGCAUGGAAUAACACGAUAGGACUCUGGCCUAUCUUGUUGGUCUGUAGGACCGGAGUAAUGAUUAAGGGGGACAGUCGGGGGCAUUCGUAUUUCAUUGUCAGAGGUGAAAUUCUUGGAUUUAUGAAAGACGAACUACUGCGAAAGCAUCUGCCAAGGAUGUUUUCAUUAA